UCUACGGGAGGCAGCAGUGAGGAAUAUUGGUCAAUGGGCGCAGGCCUGAACCAGCCAAGUCGCGUGAGGGAAGACUGCCCUAUGGGUUGUAAACCUCUUUUAUAAGGGGAGAAUAAUGACUACGUGUAGUCAGAUGCCCGUACCUUAUGAAUAAGCAUCGGCUAACUCCGUUCCAGCAGCCGCGGUAAUACGGAGGAUGCGAGCGUUAUCCGGAUUUAUUGGGUUGAAAGGGUGCGUAGGCGGUAUUUUAAGUUAGGGGGAAAACGGCGGGGCUUCACCUUGAUUGGCCAGUAAAAAUGGAGUAAGAGAGUACAGACGAGGUAGGCGGACUAAGUUAAGUAGCGGUGAAAUGCUUAGAUAUAACUUAGAACCCCGAUAGCGAAGGCAGCUUACCAGACUGUUACUGACGCUGAAGCACGAGAGCGUGGGUAGCGAACAGGAUUAGAUACCCUUGUAGUC
rnacentral:rRNA from 1 species